rnacentral:snRNA from 1 species
AUGCUUGUGUCGGCAGCACUCAUUCCAAAACUGGAACAAUGCAGAGAAGAUUAACGUGGCUCUUGCACAAGG